CCUACGGGAGGCAGCAGUGGGGAAUAUGGACAAUGGGCGCAAGCCUGAUCCAGCAAUGCCGCGUGAGUGAUGAAGGCCUUAGGGUUGUAAAGCUCUUUCGCACGUGACGAUGAUGACGGUAACGUGAGAAGAAGCCCCGGCUAACUUCGUGCCAGCAGCCGCGGUAAA
rnacentral:rRNA from 1 species